rnacentral:rRNA from 1 species
ACGGGAGGCAGCAGUGAGGAAUAUUGGUCAAUGGGCGGAAGCCUGAACCAGCCAAGUCGCGUGAAGGAUGAAGGUAUUAUGUAUUGUAAACUUCUUUAGCAGCAGAGUAAUAAGGAGGUCGCGACCUCCGAUGCAAGUAUGCUGAAAAUAAGGAUCGGCUAACUCCGUGCCAGCAGCCGCGGUAAUACGGAGGAUCCGAGCGUUAUCCGGAUUUAUUGGGUUUAAAGGGUGCGCAGGCGGCCCUGUAAGUCAGCGGUUAAAUCGUGAGGCUCAACCUCAUCCCGCCGUUGAUACUGCAGGGCUUGAUUGCGGUCGAGGUUGGCGGAAUUCGUCGUGUAGCGGUGAAAUGCAUAGAUAUGACGAAGAACACCGAUUGCGUAGGCAGCUGACCAAACCGUAAAUGACGCUCAUGCACGAAAGUGCGGGGAUCGAACAGGAUUAGAUACCCUGGUA